rnacentral:rRNA from 1 species
GCUGGCGGCGUGCUUAACACAUGCAAGUCGAACGCGCAGCAUUCUGUAGCAAUACAGGGUGUGGGCGCGUGGCGAACGGGUGCGUAACACGUGGAUAACCUUCCUUCAGGUGGGGAAUAACCCAGUGAAAAUUGGGCUAAUACCGCAUAACAUCGCGAUGGCACAUGCUGUUGCGUUCAAAGGCGCAAGUCGCCAGAAGAGGGAUCCGCGGCCGAUUAGCUUGUUGGCGGGGUAACGGCCCACCAAGGCUUUGAUCGGUAGCCGGACUGAGAGGUUGGCCGGCCACACUGGAACUGAGACACGGUCCAGACUCCUACGGGAGGCAGCAGUGGGGAAUCUUGCACAAUGGACGAAAGUCUGAUGCAGCAACGCCGCGUGGGGGAUGAAGCUUCUCGGAGUGUAAACCCCUUUCGACCCGGACGAAUGCCCGCAAGGGUUUGACGGUACGGGUAUAAGAAGCCCCGGCUAACUACGUGCCAGCAGCCGCGGUAAUACGUAGGGGGCCAGCGUUGCUCGGAAUUACUGGGCGUAAAGGGUCCGUAGGCGGUGCGGCAAGUCGAUAGUGAAAUCUCUGGGCUUAACCCAGAGGC